rnacentral:tRNA from 1 species
GCCUGGGUGGUGGAAUUGGCAGACACGCAAGAUUCAGGUUCUUGUGAGCGUUAAGCUUGUGCAGGUUCAAGUCCUGUCCCAGGCACCA